GUGGAAGGAAUCGUCCACCUCAUUCAUCUAAAAGACAUCACAAGAGUUCAUAUUCUGAUGAUGGAAGUGAUUCCAGGGAUGAUGACUCUGAUGAUGGUCGUGGGUAUUCAGGUCGAAAGCUUUCUGGUUCACAAGUUCCUCUCAAGAAGAGAUUGGACCCUCAAGAAAGAGAUGAUGAUCAUAGCAGCCAUGGAGAAGGCAAUGAUGGAGAUGGUUAUGGCAAUGAGAGUGAUGAUGAUUCUAUUGGCAGUGAUCUUUACAAGGACGAUGAUGACCGGCAAAAGCUUGCUCAGAUGACUGAACUGGAAAGGGAAAUGAUAUUGACUGAUCGUGCAGCGAAGAAAUCUGACAGGAGUCUGCAUGACAAAAUGAUCAAGGAUCGGGCCCAACCAAGGAAACAAAGCUCACCUCCUUCACAUUCUCGUGGCAUGCGCUCAUCAACAAGAGCUUUGGAUAGGGCAGCUGACAGAGAUGAUGCAUUGAAUGAGAUACGAGCAAAACGAGCAAGACAGCAGCAGGAUCCCGAGGGUCAAUUCAAGCUGAGGGAUGCAGCUAGAAAAGGUUCUGGAAGCAGGGGCUAUUCACCUAUCAAACGUAGAAGUUUUACAGCUGCAUCUCUAGGUAGCAGUCCUACCAGGGGAGAAAGUGAUUCACAUAGUAAUGAGGGAGAUUCAUCAGCUGAUGAUGGAAUGGAUGACAGUGAUGAUGACAAGUCAUCACCGGAGUCACAGUUGCCAACAUUUGAGGAUAUAAAAGAAAUCUCUAUUCGUCGUUCAAAACUGGCAAAAU
rnacentral:misc_RNA from 1 species